UACGUAGGGUCCGAGCGUUGUCCGGAAUUAUUGGGCGUAAAGGGCUCGUAGGCGGUUUGUCGCGUCGGGAGUGAAAACAUCUGGCUUAACUGGGGGCUUGCUUUCGAUACGGGCAGACUGGAGGUAUGCAGGGGAGAACGGAAUUCCUGGUGUAGCGGUGAAAUGCGCAGAUAUCAGGAGGAACACCGGUGGCGAAGGCGGUUCUCUGGGCAUGACCUGACGCUGAGGAGCGAAAGUGUGGGGAGCGAACAGG
rnacentral:rRNA from 1 species